GAGCAUGUUCCGUCAUCAGACGGUACGUCGUCUGCUUCGUCGCGCGUCGUCCAUCGCACAGCGCAUACUUUAGCAUUUUAACCCCUUAAUUUAUGUGAAAUCAACCUGUGGUCCUAAUCCCCUCACAACUCCUGCUUGCACGCCGCUGCUCCACCUUCCUCGCGCGUGGCCGCCGCCGCUGGCCUCCCGUCCCGCACGAAUAGGAGGAGCAUCUCUUGUCCACUACCGCUCCGCCGGAGACGGCACUCCCCAUGGCGGAAGGAUCCUUGCAAGAAUCCAUGGCUGCCCCGCCGCUCUACCAGAGAUGGUUGUCCAGAUCCACCGUCCCCGGCGCCAAUCGCCUCCACGCUCCCCACCACCCAGCACCGGCAUAACCUUAGCCUCCAUUCUCACUUUCCAUAUCCUUAACGCGUGACUACUGUCGCCGUCGUCCUCGCUCGCAGCUGCCGCAACUAGAGGCGGAGGCGCUGCUGCCUCCACGCGAUCCAACGCUGAGGCCACCACCAAUCCUCACGCUUGCCCCACCUGUCCCAUGGUUGCAGAUGGUCAAGCCGUCCAUCCUCUCCCGUCACGGUCGAGUACGCCAACGACAUGUCCGGCUCAGGCUUCCCCCUGCAUAUGUUCUGGCUGCUGCCGAAAGGAUAGUCUCCCUAAUUGCAGAACUUGUUGAAAACGCAGGUGGAUUGGACUGUCGAGUGAACGGUUAUUGCAAUAUGUAGGUUACACCAUUGUAUUUCAACAGAUAUAUACUAAUUAUAUCCUAUCUGAUGUUGCUUUUGUGGAUUACAAGUUAUGUUCCGAUAUAUGGCUGCACGGUAUAGAGGACCCUUUGGUUUAGGUAGCUUUGUCUUCUUGACUUCUUAUACGGCUUGCUUCUGAUACCAGAAAGUCACAUUGUGGAGCCAAUUGAGAACAAAAAAAGUUGCAUUGUUUUGGGGUAAUAUAACUAUGUUUAUUUGGUAUUGUGGAGCCAAUUGAGAACAAAAAAGUUGCAUUGUUUUUGGGUGAUAGAACUGCAUAUCUAUUUUUGAUAGAUUAUUGUUGAUGCAGGACAAUGGGAGUAAUCUCUACAGAUCUGUGUUGUUUGCACUGCAGUUGGAGCCAUAUUUUUUUAUCCUGGAAAACGGUAUUGUUACUAUGUCUUCCGUGAGCAACAGACCAAGCUAAAGGACAUCCAAGAGAUUAAUAUAUAAUUUUCUCAAGAAGAAUAAGAAAAGAUCAGAUCAAGUAGCAUAGCUUGCUUUCUUAGUCCUCCCAAGAAAAACAAUUCAGUAAGUUUAGGUAUGAAUUCUAUUUACCUUAUUUAGCCAGUUUCGGGUUUCACAUGCUUUUUGAAGGGAUCCUGAUUAAAUUUCUAACCUAUGUUUUGUGCCCUGAUUAUUUAAUUUAUUUCUUCAAGGUGUUCAACCUGUGUGUUUUAAAUGAAAGAUGAUGUGACGAAUUUCCACAAAUUCAUUUAGGUUGAUUCUGUAGACGGGCAAAUACCUCAUUAGUAUUUAGGCGUGAACACAUUUGUACUACUUCCAUCUGACAAGAUAUUAGUAUUUUCCUUUUUUUUCCUUGUAUUAGAAAGAAACCAACGAGAAGCAAUGACCAAGAUUGGAUGCAUGGUGAAAUUUUAUAGGGAAUCUCCACAAAUUCAUUUAGUUGUUUGCAUAAUGAAUUGAUUUUGUAGACGAGCAAAUACCUCAUUAGUAUUUAGGCGUGAGCACAUUUGUACUACUUCCAUCUGACAAGAUAUUAGUAUUUUCCUUUCUUCCUUAUAUUAGAAAGAAACCAACGAGAAGUAAUGACCAAGAUUGGAUGCAUGGUGAAAUUUUAUAGGGAACAAAGAAAACACAACCAUAUUUGCUAGCAAAUCAUGCCAGUUUAUAUAUGGUCGUGGUUCUCCUAAUGGUCGAUGACUGUACGUAUUUACUUGAAUAAUUAGGAUAAUGCUGCAUGGCUAAACCAAUUUACUCAGUGGCUUAGGGGAAAUCACUCCUUUGCUUAAGUUAAUUUCUGCGCCUGUCUUGCGUACAACAUUCUCUCUCUCUCUGGUGGCAUAAAGGGAAUUUUAACGGAGUUGUUCAGGUUUUGUUUGAUGAGGCUGUGACAAGAUGCUUAUUGUACUUUUUUUUUGCAAGUAAUAUCCACGGAUUACCAUUUACGUACAUGCUUUCAUUUUGUAUUUCCGCGAGUAUUUUGGUUUUGUCUCUCACAGGUUUCUGGUGUAUAUCACUUAACAAAUAUAAAUUAAAGUGUGAAUAGAGAACUGAAAAUGUGGUGAUGCUACCAUUAGAGCAUAUACUAUUUUUUUCUUAUAUAUGCAAACAAACCAGUACAUAUAUUAAUCUGUACAUGGAUAUAUGGGGAUCCAUGAACCGUGCUUUUAGCCCCAAAACUGUUGAUGUAUGCUGAUGCAGCAGAAAAGAUUGUGCUGAAUCAUGUUAAAAUGGAUGAGUGUUCUCUUAAAAAAAUCCGUCCGUCCAACAAAUUUUCAUCGGUCCAACGAAUUGGGCCUAGACGCAAACUACCAAUUGGGCCUAGAGUUAUUUUCCAUCUUGUCCAUGCAUGUUCCCCUCCCUUUAAAUUGCAGGUUGUGUAAACUGAAGCCUGGCAGGAAGCUAAUGUAUAGUAUUUGGUACCAGAUUUCAAAAAAGCUAAUGUGGGACCAAGCUAAUUCUGUAAAGAAGAUAGCUUGCAAAGAUUAUGAUUAAGCUUCUAGCCUGGGAGUGACAGUUAUGUCGUUGUAGUGUGCUUAGCUAUUAUAGGCAAGUCAAAUGAAGAUUGCCUGUAAUGCAUUAAUAGUUGGGAAUGUAUCUAUUAGAUCAACUCUGUAACAUGCAUUGCUUUGUGGUGGAAUAAAUAACUUGUCAAUAUAUGGGUCUUCUCAGUUGAGUACUAUGCAA